UAGGGCAAAAAUCACGUACUUACACUAUGUUGUCAUUAAGGGGUUGAGCUUCCUCUUCUUGCUCACCUACAAUUGUGUAGGUGACGAUGGGGAUCAUGGGAUUUGCUUGUGGAGGCAAGUCAUUAAGCAAACCAUGUCCAACUCCUAUCUGAAGUAGGGGCCCGUUGACUCAAUCAAUUACUGCAUCUGUGCUGCCCCAUUUCCAUUAACCUCCAUUGGUAUAUCAUUCAUGCUCAUUGGAUCUACUCCAAUAUCAGCUAAUUCUUCAAGGUUUGCGACAUCCUCAUAAAUCCAUACAGUUAUGUCUCUAAGCGAAUCCUCCUCCUCAACCUCAACAUCGUGGAGGAUGCCAUCAUCAACCUCAGCACCAUGGACUGCAUCAGUAGCACGAACUCCAUUCCCAUGUCUAUAUAAUCGAUUGACGUCACCAUCAGCAACAUCACUGUAGUGUUCGAAAACAACAUCCAGGUCAGCAUUAGUUACGAUCAUGAUGAUGUAGCCACAUAGUUGGACUGAAUUGAUGAAAGGUGUCACAUCAAUGUAUCCUACUUUUACUUGUCCAAAAUAUCAACAUAAUAUAAUGUUGCUGCUUUGUACUUAUCCACUGCAAGGAUGUAUGAACAAAUAGAGUUUGUCAACCUACUCAAUGCCUUUGUAAGGGAUUACAUUCUUAAUUAUCAUACUUCCAAUUAUGCAAUUUCUGAAAUUUACUCAAUCCCUUUGAGAAACUUUUAUCAUACUUCCAAUUAUGCAGUUCUGCAAUUUACUCAUUGCCUUUGAGAAAUUUUUAUAAUACGACCAGUUAUGCAAUUUCUGAAAUUUACUCAACGCCUUUGAGAAAUUUUUAUUUCCAAAAUUUACUCAAUACCUUUGAAAAUUAUAUUACACACUCAGCCUUUCAAAUGUGUAUCUAAUACACACUACUUUUGUCCAAGUAAGUUGCACGUAAAAGGAGCGCGUGAAGAGUGAAAAUAAUGAGAAUUUAUAGCACUAUUUGAAUGAUGUAGAUUUGAAUAAAUUGAUCUAAUGGUCUAAAUACAUUUUUUUCUUUUUAUCCUUUUCUAUCUUUACUAUUACACAAAAAUACAAAAAGAAAAAGACAAAAAGUUUACCGGCUAAUACCUUCGACCCCAAACCCUCUUCAGGCAAACUGGACCAAUUGGAAGGCUUUAGCAAGAUAUAUACUCCUAUGCUUGGUCUUUAACAUCUCCACCCGUGCUUUCAAUGCCAUGGAUUUUCAGUGUGACUCUCUUCUAUUUCGUCUUUUGUUGGUCGGAAAUGGAGUUGAAACUUCAGCUAGUAAAAGGUUUGGGUAAUAUGCAAGCUAUUGAAUAUAUUCUCCAAUUGAUAUGAAAAAAUGGAGUGUAAUGAUAGAGGAGGUUCUAUCCCCUUUAUCUAUCUGCUACUUACAAAC
rnacentral:lncRNA from 1 species